rnacentral:rRNA from 1 species
GGAUCACUGGCUCAGGACGGGAACGCUGGCGGCGUGCUUAACACAUGCAAGUCGAACGAUGAAGCCCUUCGGGGUGGAUUAGUGGCGAACGGGUGAGUAACACGUGGGCAAUCUGCCCUUCACUCUGGGACAAGCCCUGGAAACGGGGUUGUAAUACCGGAUAAUACUUCCACUCGCAUGGGUGGGGGUUGAAAGCUCCGGCGGUGAAGAUGAGCCCGCGCCUAUCAGCUUGUUGGUGAGGUAGUGUCACCAAGGCGACGACGGGUAGCCGGCCUGAGAGGGCCGACCGGCCACACUGGGACUGAGACACGGCCCAGACCCUACGGGAGGCAGCAGUGGGGAAUAUUGCACAAUGGGCGAAAGCCUGAUCAGCGACGCCCGUGAGGGAUGACGGCCUUCGGGUUGUAAACCUCUUUCAGCAGGGAAGAAGCGAAAGUGACGGUACCUGCAGAAGAAGCGCGGCUAACUACGUGCCAGCAGCCGCGGUAAUACGUAGGGCGCAAGCGUUGUCCGGAAUAAUAUUGGGCGUAAAGAGCUCGUAGGCGGUCUGUCGCGUCGGAUGUGAAAGCCCGGGGCUUAACCCCGGGUCUGCAUUCGAUACGGGCAGACUAGAGUGUGGUAGGGGAGAUCGAAUUCCUGGUGUAGGGUGAAAUGCGCAGAUAUCAGGAGGAACACCGGUGGCGAAGGCGGAUCUCUGGGCCAUUACUGACGCUGAGGAGCGAAAGCUGGGGAGCGAACAGGAUUAGAUACCCUGGUAGUCCACGCCGUAAACGGUGGGAACUAGGUGUUGGCGACAUUCCACGUCGUCGGUGCCGCAGCUAACGCAUUAAGUUCCCCGCCUGGGGAGUACGCCGCAAGGCUAAAACUUCAAAGGAAUUGACGGGGGCCCGCACAAGCAGCGGAGCAUGUGGCUUAAUUCGACGCAACGCGAAGAACCUUACCAAGGCUUGACAUCGCCCGGAAAGCCGUAGAGAUACGGCCCCCCUUGUGGUCGGGUGAAGGUGGUGCAUGGCUUCGUCAGCUCGUGUCGUGAGAUGUUGGGUUAAGUCCCCAACGAGCGCAACCCUUGUUCUGUGUUGCCAGCAUGCCCUUCGGGGUGAUGGGGACUCACAGGAGACUGCCGGGGUCAACUCGGAGGAAGGUGGGACGACGUCAAGUCAUCAUGCCCUUAUGUCUUGGGCUGCACACGUGCUACAAUGGCAGGUACAAGAGCUGCGAUACCGCAAGGUGGAGCGAAUCUCAAAAAGCCUGUCUCAGUUCGGAUUGGGUCUGCAACUCGACCCCAUGAAGUCGGAGUUGCUAGUAAUCGCAGAUCAGCAUUGCUCGGUGAAUACGUUCCCGGGCCUUGUACACACCGCCCGUCACGUCACGAAAGUCGGUAACACCCAAGCCGGUGGCCCACCCCCUUGUGGGGAGGGAGCUGUCGAAGGUGGGACUGGCGAUUGGGACAAGUCGUAACAGGUAGCCGUACCGAAGGUUUG